rnacentral:lncRNA from 1 species
AUCGACAGAACAUCCCGAACCAUCCUUGCAAGAACGGAAAAAUGCUUUUCCCUUGUCUUCGACCAAUCCAAAAGGUCGAAAGAGCCGUCUGGAUUCUCAUUCUCUAGCCCCUGCGAAAAAUAAACUUGAAGUUCGUUUAGAUGGGAAAUAUCAUCUAAAUUCUCACCUUGAGUACCCCUGAACUCCGUCCACGAUUUAAGAGCUGUUAAGCCAGCA